CCUACGGGAGGCAGCAGUGGGGAAUAUUGGGCAAUGGAGGAAACCCUGACCCAGCAACGCCGCGUGAGUGAUGAAGGUCUUCGGAUUGUAAAGCUCUAUUCUAAGGGAAGAAGAAAGUGACGGUACCUGAGUAAUAAGCCUCGGCUAACUACGUGCCAGCAGCCGCGGUAAUACGUAGGGGGCAAGCGUUAUCCGGAAUGAAGGGGUGUAAAGGGUGCGUAGGGGGUAUGGCAAGUCGGUAGGGAAAUUCCGGGGCGCAACCUCCGCACUUCUACUGAAACUGUCGGACUUGAGUGCAGGAGAGGCAAGUGGAAUUCCUAGUGUAGCGGUGAAAUGCGUAGAGAUUAGGAGGAACACCAGUGGCGAAGGCGACUUGCUGGACUGUAACUGACGCUGAGGCACGAAAGCGUGGGGAGCAAACAGGAUUAGAUACCCGAGUAGUC
rnacentral:rRNA from 1 species